CAUUAGGCAGCUGAAUGCGCAUGCAUACUCUGUCCAUUUCCCUCCAUCCCACCUACCCCCUCUGCGUGGCCCCGGGUGCUGGCAACCCACGCUACACCAUUGGGUGUGUAAGUCACAUGUACAGUGCGUCCAUAGGCGCAAUGGAAUGCAUACAUUACCUAUCAGCAUCUCAUUAGUUUUAAGGAGGCCCAAAUCUGGUCUGGAUGGGUGACCCCCUGGGAACCACAUGUCCACUUCCUUGAAUUCCAUGACAGCAGAACAAUGGGAUUGAAAUGUAAAAUGAAUAAAUAAAUCCAGGUCCAAUUCAAACUCUUGUUUUAAAGACUUAUGAAGCUCAGGACCCCAAUAACUCAAGAACCACCUCUCUCCAUAUGAACCAGCGAUCGUCAUCUGAGGCCCCCUCCAUGGGAAGUCUGGUAGGUGGCAACACAAGAACAGGUCUUUUCAGUGGUGGCUCCCUGCUUAUGGAAUGCUCGCCCCAGGGAGGCUCGCCUGGUACCUUCAUUACAUAUCUUUAGGCACCUGGCAAAAACAUUCCUUCUUCAAGAAAAGGGUGGGAUGUUUUAAUAUAGAUUUGUGGAGUUUUUUGCUGCUUUCCAUUUGUUUGUUGCUUAAAAUAUUGUAUACUUUGCGUUUCAGCGGUAAAGAAAAGACUAAUAAAUUUCAAUAUUAACUAAUUACCGUAUUUUUCGCUCUAUAACACGCACCCGACCAUAACACGCACGUAGUUUUUAGAGGAGGAAAAUCCGUAGGCAUGCCACCCGUAGGCAUUCCCUCCAUAACACGCAUAGACAUUUCCCCUUACUUUCUAGGAGGAAAAAAGUGAGUGUUAUGGUGCAAAAAAUACGGUAAUUAAUUCAGCCACAUCUCCAUCCAAAUGCUGAUAGGAAUGUGCAUUAAGAUACCUACCUGAAUGUGCAUCCAUCUGAUGUUGAUGACUUACAGGUGCACAUCUGAUUUACUGCUGCCACUCCUAUGACAUAUGCAUCUUCUUUGUACUGGGACCUGUGCACUUAUCCAAGCAUUUUCUUAAUCUACAAAAAUGUAACACUCUGAACAAAAGCUAGCUGAGCAUCAGAACUCCUUGUUCUCGAAUAUCUCUGACAGCUGGAUCAGAGUGCAGGAAUUCGACAGAGGACGUCUUGGGAAGAAAAUGACUCUGGGUUAUCUUUGCGCAUGAGCCUUUGGGAACCUGUUGAUCACAUUUAUCUGCUCUUUGCACCUGUCUGGGCUUAGAGGGGAAAUUAUUUCUAGCAUUUGGUCAUAUCAAGUCCUUUACGGGGGGAGGGGGUGAGUUGCCAUUGGGCAUUGCUGUCAUCUAGCACCAAACCUCUUUUCCUCAUUUAGCAGAUGUUCCAUCAGCUGACCAGAUUGAUUCCAUCUGCCAUAAGAUUGAUCUAAACGUUCCUCCACACAAAAGUCAUUCACAGUCUUGGCAAAGCGAAGUUAUAAAGGCCGGUCUCUUUGAGAGAAGACUUUCAGUGCAGAAACCUGGAUUCAUUGCUAGACCAGUCGAUGGAAGGACGGGGAAGGAAUGUGCGUAGAUUUAAAUCACCAUUCUCUUCCUUUGAAAUGUGGAAUCUUCCUGUCAUUUCCUGGUCACCAGAUGAUGACUUCAGACAUCAUGCGUGGUGAGGGUUGAUAAGAAAAUGCUUUAGGA